rnacentral:rRNA from 1 species
UUUAUUGAGAGUUUGAUCCUGGCUCAGGAUGAACGCUGGCGGCGUGCUUAACACAUGCAAGUCGAACGGGGUGCUCAUGACGGAGGAUUCGUCCAACGGAUUGAGUUACCUAGUGGCGGACGGGUGAGUAACGCGUGAGGAACCUGCCUUGGAGAGGGGGAUAACACUCCGAAAGGAGUGCUAAUACCGCAUGAUGCAGUUGGGUCGCAUGGCUCUGACUGCCAAAGAUUUAUCGCUCUGAGAUGGCCUCGCGUCUGAUUAGCUAGUAGGUGGGGUAACGGCCCACCUAGGCGACGAUCAGUAGCCGGACUGAGAGGUUGACCGGCCACAUUGGGACUGAGACACGGCCCAGACUCCUACGGGAGGCAGCAGUGGGGAAUAUUGGGCAAUGGGCGCAAGCCUGACCCAGCAACGCCGCGUGAAGGAAGAAGGCUUUCGGGUUGUAAACUUCUUUUGUCAGGGACGAAACAAAUGA